UACGAGGGGGGCAAGCGUUGUUCGGAAUUACUGGGCGUAAAGGGCUCGUAGGCGGCCAACUAAGUCGGAUGUGAAAUCCCCAGGCUCAACUGGGGAGGGUCAUUCGAUACUGAUCGACUCGAAGGCAGGAGAGGGAAGUGGAAUUCCCGGUGUAGUGGUGAAAUGCGUAGAUAUCGGGAGGAACACCAGUGGCGAAGGCGACUUCCUGGCCUGUUCUUGACGCUGAGGCGCGAAAGCUAGGGGAGCAAACGGG
rnacentral:rRNA from 1 species